GACGAACGCUGGCGGCGUGCUUAACACAUGCAAGUCGAACGGAAAGGCCCUGCUUUUGUGGGGUGCUCGAGUGGCGAACGGGUGAGUAACACGUGAGUAACCUGCCCUUGACUUUGGGAUAACUUCAGGAAACUGGGGCUAAUACCGGAUAGGAGCUCCUGCUGCAUGGUGGGGGUUGGAAAGUUUCGGCGGUUGGGGAUGGACUCGCGGCUUAUCAGCUUGUUGGUGGGGUAGUGGCUUACCAAGGCUUUGACGGGUAGCCGGCCUGAGAGGGUGACCGGCAACAUUGGGAAAGAGAGAACGCCGAGACGCCGACGGGAGGCGGCAGUGGGGGAGGGUGAUCACGGGCCGGAGGCCUGAUGCCGCAACGCCGCGUGCGGGAGGGGGGGGGGCGGGUUGGAGACAGGAUGCGCCGGUGACGAACGGGGCGUGAGGGGAAGUGGUAAAGAGACAACGACUAGUUAGAAC
rnacentral:rRNA from 1 species